rnacentral:lncRNA from 1 species
ACUCGUCCACCCGCCUGAGCCAACUUGCCCGCGACUCAGAGUGUGUCUGGACUCCGCUUCCUCCAAUGCCAAAGGAAAAUGUCUAUAAUCUCACUCUUCAGCGGGAAGCGUUGGACUCCGCGGUGGUCCUUGACUACACACACCGCAGUGCCCACCGGGAACGUAUUCCAUAUCUCUGAGCGCCUGGUGGGGAAUGUGGACUGUGACCCUGUGAGUCGUCCGUCUCUCUUCCUGAGUCUUUGAGCGAAAAUAGUGUAUAGACAGGAAUUCCUGAAGUCUAAACGCCUCCCACGAUGACAGGAGUGUUAUUGGGAAGAGAACAAACGAGGAGAUAAAAUCUUCAAGGAUUAGGAUAAUCUGACGAUGGGAGGUUAAAACUAACGGUUUAAAGGAUGAGCCAGGUGGAAUGGUUUGGCAGGGGCAAUGAGGAGCAGGAAGACACCAGCCCCUACUCCAGAAGCUGUGGGACCACUGGUUUGGCAGGAAAAGCCACCCCCAUUUAAGAUCACAGCUACUAGUGGAGAAGCGGUGUCGUCAUGGAAUAGCUAUCUUCCCAUAAACUUUUCAUGGUAUUCAUAUUUCUCCUUAGAUGUAGAAACAUCAAAUUUCAGCGAAUGUAGUGAAUUGCUCAGUACCUCAGAGCAAUAAUGACUGAUGAAGAGCUAGGCAUUGGUAUCAAUCUUACAUUGAGAUUGUAAAUGCAGUAAAACGGGAGGAUUCUAUAGGUGAAGGAGCAUGUCUUAUAAAGAGUUUUCUUCCUGGCCAAGCGCAGUGGCUCAAACCUGUAAUGCCAACCCUUUGGGAGGCCAGGGCAGGACGUUCCCUUGAGCUCAGGAAUUGGAGACCAGACAGGGAAAUACAGGGAGACUUCGUCUCUAUAAAAAUUUUUUUUUAACUGGCCAGGCAUGGUGGCCUGAUCUUGGGACUACAAGUUCCAAGUACUCAGGAGGCUGAGGUGGGAGGAUUGCUGAAGCCCAGGAGUUUGAUUGAGGCUGCAGUGAGCUAUGAUGCCACCACUGCCCUCCAGCCUAGGCAACAGAUACCUCAAUAAUUAAAGAUUUUUUUUUUUAAGUUUCUUCUUAUUUCUUGGUGAAACAUAAUUUCUUUAUUAUAGUUAGCAAUUUAAAAACUGGCAUUGGUUAAAAAAUAAUAACAGUAUAAAGCUAAAUUAGGAAACAAUUCAUCUAAAAACCUGCUCUUUUGAAGGUAACUUUUUUUCUCCCUAUAAACAUACAUUGGCCUAUAAACCAAUAUUCUUCUUUUUAAAAAAAAUGGAGUCUACUGUUUACCUAUUUUUCUAAACUAAAAACUUUUCAAAAUUUUGUUUAGACACAAAAAUAAGGUGACUGUGCCAAACUUUUGAUGCCAAACAUCCGCUC